GACGAACGCUGGCGGCGUGCUUAACACAUGCAAGUCGAACGGUGAAGCGCCUUCCUUUUUGGUGGGUGUGGAUGAGUGGCGAACGGGUGAGUAACACGUGAGUAACCUGCCCCCUUCUUCUGGAUAACCGCAUGAAAGUGUGGCUAAUACGGGAUAUUCUGGUUCUGUCGCAUGAUGGGUCUGGGAAAGAUAUUGUUUCGGUGGGGGAUGGGCUCGCGGCCUAUCAGCUUGUUGGUGGGGUGAUGGCCUACCAAGGCGGUGACGGGUAGCCGGCCUGAGAGGGUGGAGGGUACAAAUGGGACUGAGACAGGGACCAGACUCCUACAGGAGGCAGCAGUGGGGAAUAUUGCACAAUGGGCGCAAGCCUGAUGCAGCGACGCCGCGUGAGGGAUGGAGGCCUUCGGGUUGUGAACAUCUUUCGCCAGUGAAGCAGGCCUGCCUCGUUUGUGGGUGGGUUGACGGUAGCUGGAUAAGAAGCGCCGGCUAACUACGUG
rnacentral:rRNA from 1 species